UGGCAACGACUCCUCAG
rnacentral:misc_RNA from 1 species